rnacentral:rRNA from 1 species
AAGUAAUCUACCCUAAACUCUAGGAUAACUCCCUGAAAGGGGGGGCUAAUACUGGAUAGUUCCCUGGGGCAUAAGUUCUGGGGGGGAAGGCGGGCCUCUAUAUUAUGCUCGCGGUUCAGGAUGAGCUUGCGGCCCAUUAGCUAGUUGGCAGGGUAAAGGCCUACCAAGGCUACGAUGGGUAGCUGGUCUGAGAGGAUGAUCAGCCACACUGGCACUGAGACGCGGGCCAG